ensembl:lncRNA
GGGAGUGAAAAGUCACCAAGUCCAAAUAAAAAGUGCAGCUACAGCUCUGUAAUGUGUCUGUGUGAGGCAGGCUGCUGCAGGAGAAGCUGCAGGAGGAUAAAAAUGCCAUUCAAGAGGAAUUAUUCAGCGUUAAGGCCGACGACCGAGCUGCAAGAAGCACCUCUGAGCCGGCGUCCUGGCCGCACGGAUCACAUACAGGCCAGUUUCCACUCGCCUCCGUCCUGCCAGCAGCAGCUUGUGGUUACCAGUCUGUAACUCACAACAACCAGCGCAUCCAUCGACAGCGAGACUCAAAGCUCGGCCUGCUCGGUCCCUGUAAGUCACUCUGGCGUUGGCUGACAUGUGAAAUGUUUACGCCUUGUAAAAUAUUUCUUUGGAUUGCUCUCUUAUGAAAGCCAGAUGUUGCCUGUUCCAUUUUUCCCUGGUGCAAAUAUCGAGCUGUUUUUAUUUUUUAGGUCAGUUCUGGCAUUAAUUAUUCGCCUCUACACGAACCCAGCGGGCCAAAGUUCUGCCCAGAUAAGUGUUUCUGCUGAUCAGCAGCUGUUAUACAGAGAGAUGUCAACUAUACAAACACGUCUGCAUCUCUAUUGUUUAAGGUUAUAGAAUAAAUAUUCAUCACGUUCAUUUCUCUGUGUCAUUGUUGAUUUAUUCGCUUCUGUUUUGCACAAUAUGCAAUAUGGUGUCAUAAGUGAUUUUCCAUUUUUGUGUAAUAUGUGACUGUUUUAUUGCAGCGAUGAUGUAUUAUUAUUUUAUUAUGACAUGUAAUGAGAUAGAAUCUAAAUAUUUGUGACAUUCUGAAAUGAGCAUCAUGCAGGAUUCUGGGUGUAAUUAAAGAAUGAUGUCCAUUUAAAAAAGAAAAAAACAUUUUGUAAAUCAAAAAUACAAACAAAUCUAAAAAAGAUAAUUGGUUUCUAAACUAAUUUACUGGGAGACACACUUGUGUUGGGGACUGAUGCAGCUGCACAUUCACUUGCAGAAAGUUAGAUGGGAAUAUUGAAAACUCUCCUAAAUCUGCUAAACAAGAAGCUACAGUUAGCGGCCAGUUAGCUUAGCACAAAGACUGGAAACAAGGUAACAGCUAGCCAAGCUUCACCUGAAGCUAACUAAAUCCACAUAAGCACAUCAAUCACAUUACAUCUAGUUUGUUGAGUGUGUAGAAACAUACAAAUGUACUAUUAAUAAAUGUUUCUGAGCCACAGACGGUUUCUUACCUGGUGCAGUAACUUCCUGAAGUCUCUGCUGAUCUCCAGAGAGUCACUGCACCUGAAGAAAUACUUCCAGCUAUAAAAAGUGAAGUAAAAUAUUUUGAACAACUGAAACAAACAUUAUGAUAACGUGUUAAACAGUUAGCUCGAGAUGUGCUGGGAGAUUUAGUUCAUUUGCAUAGAGAGAAGCUAGCUGCUUCACUCUUUAUCCAGUCCUCAUGCUAAGCUAAGCUAAGCUAAGCUAAGCUAAAAUAAGCUAAGAGGCUUCUGGCUGUAGCUUCAUAUACAGACCUGAGUGUAUCAAUCCUCACAGCUGACACUCAACAAGAAGACUUUAUUUAGAUAAUAAACCAGGAAUUAUUAAAUUAAUUAUUCAACAUCUUUGGGAAACACUCAUUCGGGCUACAUAAACAAAGAUGGAGAUCAUAUUUCUGAUCAAAUUAGUUAAUUGAUUAAAACAAACUAAUUUGGCUGUCAUGCAGCAGCAAUCUGCAAAGGAACUAGUAACUACAGUUAUAACAAACGUAGUUGUGUAAAAAGUACAAUAUUUGCCUCUAAAACUAGCAGACUGGAAGUUAAAAUAGCAGAAAAUAUUCAAGUAAAGUACAAGUACCUCAACAUUGUAUUUAAAGUGUCAACGUGGAAGUUUUUGUUGGUUCUGGCGCCUCUUUUGGACAAAAGCAGUACGACUCCAGCGCGUGCUGUUGUAAAGAUGCUUGCUAGCUGUUUUGGAGGCGAGUGACAGAGACCUCAUGAUGGAUCGUGAUGAGGUGAUGUAUUUUUAUGUGACUUUGUACAUGAUAUAUGUGAUCGGACCGGAGCGCAGGUGUG